AGUUCCCUCAUGCUGACUCUCGGUGAGAGUUGGGAGGGGAUGCAGUAACCUUGUCCAUGGAACUCCUGCAAGAGGGCAGCACGAUGGCUUCAUACAGAUCCACAGCGGUCACCCACCUUGGAGAAAAAUGGAUUUCUUUCCAGCAUGCAAACAGCUGAGUGAACAUCCCCAAGGGCCUUCCAAACUGCUCUGAAAAAAAGGAGCUGGGGGAGAAAGCUGCAAGGUUGGCAAACGUUGCCGCAGCCACGGCUGGUGCCUGGGAAAGGACAGUGCUGGGAACUCAGCUAAUGCACGUUGCCUCUGCCUCGCAAAGCCAGCAGAGGAGAAAAUGUCAGAGAAUUGGCCUGUCAAAAUGACGAAGUUGAAAAAGCAAGAGCGGUGCAGAAACUCAAGCUGUCGACAAAAUGCUUGAAGCAGCCUGCUGGGACCGGAGCCCAUGGGUGUGCUGAGACGUGGGGGGAGAAACCACCGUCCCCAUCCCACAGCACUGCUCCUGGGCUGAGAAGUAAGUGAGGUUGGAAGAACUCUCCUGGAGCUCCUGUUAGCAGAAUGGAACUGAACAUACCACUCUACCACAACAGUCUAUUUUCUACACUUUGCUCUCAUCUUCCUGCAACCCAUCUUACAAAUGAGACGUAAAAUUGUGGCUCCGGAUGCUGAUGGACCCAACCCUGCAGCAUUUACGCACCUGUUUAAGUUGAAUCAUGUGAGUUUUCAUAGCGGAUUGAAUGCGUG
ensembl:lncRNA